GUUGGUUUUAUCAUCUUCAUUUUGCAAAUGAGUUGGAUAAGGCUCCCAAAAUUGGAAGUCCCUUGCUUUGGGUUCUACAAUGAAUGAGGGUAGAGCUGGAGUACGGCCUUGUGUGACUGUCAAGUCCAUGCUGUCAACCACCACCCUGGACUGCCAAGCCCCACCUGUUUUCUUUAUGAAACAUCAGAAAAUUGCCCCUAAUCUCCUGUGGUUCUUGAAAAACUUCCCUGUAAGCACAUAACAAAAGAUUCCAAAAUGUCAGGGGGAAAAAAAGUCUUUUAAUAGGAGGGAGACUUCAACUUCUAGUUUUUGCAUUCUUUGGAAGAUUAACCAAAGAUACGGUCAGCUGGUAUACCCCUCAGGCCAUUGGCAGUGAGACAGUGCAGGAGUUGGGAAACUAGAUGUUGUGGGCGGAGAGUGAAAUGUCUGUGUUUCAUAUUUCAGAGUGAUGACAAGGAUAAAGGUGGGCCUGUGGAAGUAUUGGCUGAAAUAGAGUGAAGAAGGUCAAAGAAGAGAGGAAAGUCAAGAUUCUUUCUUCCUGAGUGUUUGGAUAGCUCACAUUCCUGGCCAUAAAGGGCUUCCCUACCAGUAGAAUGUCAGGGCUUAGAGUAGAGAGGUAGGAAAGAAGUUGGGUAGAUGACAGGGAUGAACAACUUUUUAAAUCACAGGGCGAAGGUGUCAGUAUCCAAGUGUCUGGAGAGUUUCUUCUGGUAAUGUUUGAGUAGCUUCUAUUGGAUCAAGCAUCCUGUGAAUAACAGCUAUUAACUCUGAAGAAAACAUUUUUAAGAACCCAGUUCUCUGAAAUUACUGGAGAGUGAACGAAAGCAGCAGAUACUGAAGGGGGUUGGAUGAAGCAGGUUUCCUAUUUUGGGUGUUUUUUUUAAUGCUUUCGGCCUAAAGGCAGACCCUGGAAAGUGCCUUGUGGGGUGGCUUAAUCCCAGAUAGAGAUGUUUUAAUUUUUUUGACUUCAAGAACCAGAGGACAGAAUUCAAGGUGAUUAUAGCAUCUACUGAUAGUGGUGGUAGAAUUGCAAAAAGGAAAGAGCCAGAGAGGGGGAGCCCCAAAUUCUGUAAAUAAACUCUGUCCAAAUUUC
rnacentral:lncRNA from 1 species